GUUAAGACUGGUGCUCAAAUGAUUGGAGGUGGUGUUCGAGAUGGUGUUGGAAGCAUCGCCAAAGGAAUCAAAGGUGGAAUAGGAGAUAUUGUAGGCAUAUUGUAAUUGCUUCUUCAAAAGAGCUCCCAUUUGUCAUCUGAAAUUACGGGUAUUCGAAACAAGGUGAACAUAAAAGAAUACAGUUGUAUUUUAUGUAAAUACAAAUGCCUUUGAAUAAAG